rnacentral:lncRNA from 1 species
GGCACUUCUGUGGAAAUAAGAUGCAUUUCCAUUUCACUGAAAUCAUGAUAUUGCAAAAUCAGCAGGAGUAGUUACAAGCCAAGAAUAGCUCCCCAUCCAAGGAAGGAAGGACUACGAGGCAAAAUGAAGGUUCAUUUGCCAAACUCACUGAGACUCAGUCAAGAAAAAAAAAAUCAAAAGGAGCACCUCAAGGCCCACAACGAGAAGAUAACAAAAGUCUCCAGCAUCAUUUGAAACUCCACAAUUAGUGCAAGCUAUGAGGUUCCAACAGGGCCAUGGGGGGAAGGGUGUGCUCAGUUCACUUUCACCAUUGCAGCUAGAGAACUCUGGUCAUCAGCCCCUGGGACUUAGAAGACAGUUUAAUGCAGGUCCACCUCUAAUGGAUCAUUUCUCUUUUUUCCAGUCAUUCAUUUGUUUAUUCAUUUAACAAAUACAAAUAUUUUUAAGGAUUUUCUGUAUUUCUGGAAAUAUGCUAAGGGCUACAAAGGUGACCAAGUCCAAUACCAUCUUUGUCUGCAGGGAUCAUGUGCCUUUAGGAUUUGGGAAAUUGCAUGGCUCCAAACUUCAGCUCCAUCAGGCAUCCAGCAGCAGCAGGGACACCUUCCUAGGUCUCUCAGUGUUGCCAAGAGCUGGUUCACAGGAGAUGACUGAGGGAAACUGCUCUGGAAAAGCUCUUUUGCAGGUCUAUAAAAGUGAAAAGUAUUGGAACUAUUGCUCUAGCUGUGAGAACAAUGGGCUAAGUCACCAGGGAGCUGACUUAGACCUCCUUCUCUUUGUUCCUUCACUUCCCCCUCCCCUUACUCAGCCUCCAAACAGAGACUUAGUCCAAAGAGAGCCAUUCCAGGUUGAUGAUAAAGGGACAAUGGGGUUUUGGGGUGGUCCUCUGGGUCCCCAGGCAGGAGGCCUCCAUUCCAGCAUGCCAAACAAACCAGGUUCUUUUGGAGCAAGUCAACAGCUGAACUAGAGGCUAUGAACAAAGAACUUGGCCAGUUUCUAUGUCCUUGCAGUGGAUAUGCACAGUUAACCACACCAGUGUCUACUCCUGUCCCAGUUUUAGGGAAACCAGAAAUCAAGAAUCUCACUCCCAGAAAACUACAGGUAGUUGGAGGAGAUUGGUUUCUGUCUGUGGUAUUUUCUGGCUGAUGGUGUAAUACCAUAUAGGCCCAUGGGCCCAAGUGUUGGCAUUACCUAGGUAAUUUGUCAAAACAUAGAUGCUC